GCUGGUGCAUACACCUGAAAAUUAAUUCAUACAUUGAUAUAAAAAAAGGCAGCCCGUGCACUUAAGCUACCGCUAUGCAUGGUGUCUGGCGACGGACCCCACCACAAGGGUGUAUUGUACGCAAGCCUUACCUUGCAUUUCUGCAAGAGGCUGUUUUCAAGGCUUGAACCCAUGACGUGUACUCAGCCUAGCUACCGCUAUGCGUGGUGUCCGAGGAAGGGCCCCACCGCAAGGGUGUAUUGUACGCAGCCUUACCUUGCAUUUCUUCAAGAGGUUGUUUCCAAGACUUGAGCCCGUGAUGUGUACUCAGCCUUGCUACCGCUAUGCGCGGUGUCCGGGGAAGGACCACAAGGGUGUAUGUAUGCAAGCCUUACCUUGCAUUUCUGCAAGAGGCUGUUUCCAAGGCUUGAACCCGUGACGUGUGCUCAGCCUUACCUUCCAUUUCUACAAGAGGCUGUUUCCAAAGCUUGAACCCAUGACGUGACGUGUACGCAGCCUUACCUUGCAUUUCUGCAAGAGGUUGUUUUCAAGACUUGAACCCGCGACGUCCUGGUCACAUGACAGUAACUUUAGCAGUUACUCCAAAGCUCCCCUUCUGAUUAUGCAUUGACAUCGUAAAAGAAAUGUUUAUAUUAUCAUGUCACCUAAAAGAUAAUACAAAUAAUCAUGCAAUAAAAUUGAGGAAUUGAGCUAGAUAGCCUAGAUAAUAAGAUAUAAGACAAUAGGUUAAAAAAUUUAGUGAUAUUGUAAAAAUUCUUUACUAGUUACAUACUCUUCUCUUUAUUAGCCUAAUGCAAUUCUACAAAUAUAUAAACAAAUAUCUUUUGAAUUUAUUGCCAUUAAUUAGGUCAAUAAAUUGUAAUGAAUAUUGUUAAUAGAUAUGAAAUUAUUUUUACCAUUUGCCCUCUAUGACCCAAAACAAAUACUAUAAUUAUGUCUCGAUCGCAAAUUAAUUGGAAUCGAAUAUGUUAAUCUUUCAAUGUCUAUGUCACCUAAAGUAAACUCGUGAAUUUAAGACAAGUUCAAAUCAUACGUACUGAAAAUAUAAAAUAUAGAUAGAUAGAUAGAUAGAUAGAUAGAUAGAUAGAUAGAUAGAUAGAUAAAUAGCUAUGAGACAGUACCUUAAUUUCGCUUUCCAUUUUUUUGAAUUUACGAACCCAAAAUGUUAUUAAUGUAGGAGGUACCAACAACAUUAGCAGUGCCUGCAUUGCAUGCAAAUUAAAUAUUCAAAUAAAUCAACAGACAAAUUUAAUGGAUAAAUUAAAAAAAAUGUACUAGAAAACUUACCAGAAUCAAGCAAACAGAAGCAACUCUUGACAUUUUAAAUGAACUGAGAUUCAUUUCUUGAUAUGUAUGACUGCGUAUAAUUUUUUGACUCAGAUGAUUAAUUAGAAAAAAAAAUUAGAAAUUUGAGUUGUGCUAAUGCAACAUAAAAUAUUAAACUGAAAUUUUCAACUUACUUGUUUACUCAAUGUAGUUUCCCAAAUUUAUGGACUUUAUACAUAGAAAUAAUAAAAAUGGCUAGUUGUUUAUUUUUUUUCCCUUCCUAGGUCAUUUUCCUUUAUGUUGUUUCCAUAUUAGAUUAAUAUUUUUUAAAGAAAAUUCUAUAUAAAGAAUCUAAGUAUUUUUAUUAAUAUAACUCAAAUAAAAAAAAAGGAAAUUCACUUAAAGAUGAGAAGUUAAAUGAAAAGAAAAUAUCUGAUUACAUAUAAUCAAAGUUAUUUUAAUCUCUUUUUUUAUAAAUGCAUAAUGAUUUUGUUGGUUGAUACUUUAUGGAGGAAAAACAUUAAUAGUUUUUAUAUUUUUAAUUGCCAUAAUAAAUAAAUAUUUACUAUCCCUUCAUUGUUACUCAAAAAGAUUUCGAGUUUGAGCAUUAAUGAAAAUGAAAGUUAUCUUUAGUGGAGAAGAUUUUACUCCGCAUGAAUUCAAAUUUAAUCAUAUUUCAAUAUAGAUAUUGAAUAUCAAAUGAAAAAUUAAAAAAAAAUGAAACUUUUAUAUUAUUGAAAUAGUUAAAAAAAAAAAAAAGAGUCAAUAUUUUAGUACCUAUUUUAGUAAAACUAUAUCAUGAUAAAACUUAUUUGAUGUCCAAUCUAUUAGUGCAUGUGACAAUUUUUUUUCUUUGCAAAAAGAAUUGAAUAUAUAUAUAUAUGAGGUGAAACAUUCAACUUUAUUAAACUGACCUGCAGGACUCGUUUUAAAUCUUUCUCAACUCAAAAUUACAAUUAGAG
rnacentral:lncRNA from 1 species